CUCAGCACAGCACGACAUCCGACCGUCACCAGAGAACACCCUUGAACGUAUGUGGUCUGCAGUUUGGGUCCCUUCCAGUUCCCCCUCCACUCCCACUGCGCUGGCGUCUGGACGCCGUCCUGGACCAGUCUGGGUCGGCCUUCACCCAACCCUGGACUGGAGGCGUCCCACGCUCGGGCUGUACGUCGAACUCCACCUGAAGAUAACGGACCCGUCCAACCCUGCCUUCACCGUCCACCGCAUCGGAGUCCAGCGUCUGAACAGCACUCUGUCUGCUCUUCACACGGCUGGGUGAACCCCACCCUAACCCCACCCUACCAACCAACACGACCUGUUCUUCUGAAGAGAGAGCUGUUCUUCUGAGUAUGGCUCGCUUCUUCUGAACACAGACCUGUUCUUCUGAACAGAGCUGUUCUUCUGAACACAGAGCUGUCUUCUGAAAACUGGUCUGUUCUUCUGAACACGGCCCUGUUCCUCUGAACACAGAGCUGCUCUUCUGAACACCGUUCUGUUCUUCUGAACACAGAGCAGUUUUUCUGCUCCGUUAUAGCAGCCCAGCCUUCAUAAUGAUGAUGUUGGGUCAAAAUAAAUUUGCUACACGGAAAACGAUUAGUUGGCCACCAGAAUGCUCUCUGUGGACGCUUAGGAAAAACAGAACGAUUUAGAAAGGGCUUCGGUCACAAAGUAUUAAAUCAGUUCCACUCGGUCAGAAGCACAUAACCCCCCCCCCUCUUCCGGCAGAGGAGGUCGGAGAACGCGGCAAACAAACAAACAACCGGGGCCGCUGGAGAGGGAGAAGUGCCUUUCCAGGAUGAUUCAGAGGAUAAAAAGCCCCAAAUCAUUUGGGUUCGUGUAGAUUCAUCCUUCUGUUGAUGCCCUUCAUCAUCCCGGAAGUCAAGCAGCAACUUUAAUUGCAGCAAUUUUAUGCGCAUACAUUUUUUUUAUGUCCAUCUUCUAUGUAUGAUUAUUCCUCCAUUCAUCAACCUAGAGACAUGGAUGUACUGGAGCCAACUCUGUUGUUCACUACAGUAACCCUGGGGAGGGGGGGGACAGUACGUCAUCACGACUGAUCACAGUUAAUGAUCACAGUUACUGAUCAGUUACUGUGAUCAUUAACUGUGAUCAGUUACUGUGAUCAGUAACUGUGAUCAGUAACUGAUCAGUAACUGUGAUCAGUAACUGUGAUCAGUAACUGCGAUCAUUAACUGUGAUCAGUGACUGUGAUCAGUAACUGUGAUCAGUAACUGAUCAGUAACUGUGAUCAGUAACUCUGUGAUGAGGAACUGUGAUCACAAACUUUAAGGCAACACAUCCCUCUCUCAGCACCACUCACUGAUGAGGAGCUCUUUGAGUCCCUGAAGAUCAGCCGAUAUCAGGCCUACGUCUUCAGUCAAACCUCCGGGCGGAGAAGGCUGGCUGGCAACAGACGAACGAUGAUGAUUUUAUUUUAUUUUUUUUCUCACCAUUACGUUUCCAACAUCAGGAAGAGGUCUGUUGUUCACUGCUCUUCAAUAAAAUAAAUAAAUAAAUCAUAAAUCAG
ensembl:lncRNA